AAGUGGUCUGCGCCUACGUACAAUGGACCUUUUCCGACAUGGGCAAACGCGAUUGGUUGGGUGAUUAUUGUAUCUACACUCAUCCUUACUCCUAUUUUUAUGCUGAUUGAGUAUAGCAGAGCAUCAGGAACAUUUGUUGAACGUAUUGCAGAAAUAUCCAGACCAACUUCGGACUUCGGACCAACGGACUCCGUGAACAGAGAGGAGGCGAAGUCGGUACAUUCGAUGCGUGGUACAUGGUUAGGCCCAGUCGAGUACAAGGCAACAUACACCCCCACAGUCCACGGCAUAGAUAAUGUCAGUUUCCAACCUGCUGGUGUUAUAUAAAUGACGGGAAAUACCAUGCAACACUUACCGUGACGUCCUUUAUACACAUUCAUAUAGAACACAGUAAUUGAACUGAGAGGAAGCUUGUUAUUUAUAACUGUAGUAUAAGCAUAAUAGACCUAAGAAACACGGAACUUAAACCUGUGCUUCAGCAUUGACGUCUUAAUGUAGCCCAGUUUGAUUCUUUUCUGGGUAGCUGGGUAUUGAAAUUCUUCUGACGGAAAAGCAUUGUCCUUUUCCGUAUGUAAAUUGUAUUUUACGCCUAAAAGAUUUUCUCGUGUGUAAAUUGAGAUUUACGCCUAAAAGAUUUUCGUGUCUCUUUUUGUAUUGGUUAAUGUACCCAUGUAUACCUAUGUAUUGUUGUAUUGAUGUAUUGAAUGUGUUGAUUUUUACUGUUUUGAUUAUUUUUAGAUAGACUUAUAUUUCUUUAUGUCAGUUUUAAUGUUAAUGUUCAUAUUUAAUUUCCUCAUAUGGAAAAUUUCUAUAGAUUUUACUUGAAUUGACUUGUAAUGUUUUAAGGAAAUACUAUUAUGAGAUAAUGAAUUUGUAACAAAAGAAAUAGCUUCCAUGUUGUUUAUACAAAUUGAAGAAAAUUGAAACACGAAA